GAUGAACGCUGGCGGCGUGCCUAAUACAUGCAAGUCGAGCGAACAGACGAGGAGCUUGCUCCUUUGACGUUAGCGGCGGACGGGUGAGUAACACGUGGGUAACCUACCUAUAAGACUGGGAUAACUUCGGGAAACCGGAGCUAAUACCGGAUAAUAUUUCGAACCGCAUGGUUCGAUAGUGAAAGAUGGCUUUGCUAUCACUUAUAGAUGGACCUGCGCCGUAUUAGCUAGUUGGUAAGGUAACGGCUUACCAAGGCAACGAUACGUAGCCGACCUGAGAGGGUGAUCGGCCACACUGGAACUGAGACACGGUCCAGACUCCUACGGGAGGCAGCAGUAGGGAAUCUUCCGCAAUGGGCGAAAGCCUGACGGAGCAACGCCGCGUGAGUGAUGAAGGUCUUCGGAUUGUAAAACUCUGUUAUUAGGGAAGAACAAACGUGUAAGUAACUGUGCACGUCUUGACGGUACCUAAUCAGAAAGCCACGGCUAACUACGUGCCAGCAGCCGCGGUAAUACGUAGGUGGCAAGCGUUAUCCGGAAUUAUUGGGCGUAAAGCGCGCGUAGGCGGUUUUUUAAGUCUGAUGUGAAAGCCCACGGCUCAACCGUGGAGGGUCAUUGGAAACUGGAAAACUUGAGUGCAGAAGAGGAAAGUGGAAUUCCAUGUGUAGCGGUGAAAUGCGCAGAGAUAUGGAGGAACACCAGUGGCGAAGGCGACUUUCUGGUCUGUAACUGACGCUGAUGUGCGAAAGCGUGGGGAUCAAACAGGAUUAGAUACCCUGGUAGUCCACGCCGUAAACGAUGAGUGCUAAGUGUUAGGGGGUUUCCGCCCCUUAGUGCUGCAGCUAACGCAUUAAGCACUCCGCCUGGGGAGUACGACCGCAAGGUCGAAACUCAAAGGAAUUGACGGGGACCCGCACAAGCGGUGGAGCAUGUGGUUUAAUUCGAAGCAACGCGAAGAACCUUACCAAAUCUUGACAUUCUUUGACCCUUCUAGAGAUAGAAGCUUCCCCUUCGGGGGACAAAGUGACAGGUGGUGCAUGGUUGUCGUCAGCUCGUGUCGUGAGAUGUUGGGUUAAGUCCCGCAACGAGCGCAACCCUUAAGCUUAGUUGCCAUCAUUAAGUUGGGCACUCUAAGUUGACUGCCGGUGACAAACCGGAGGAAGGUGGGGAUGACGUCAAAUCAUCAUGCCCCUUAUGAUUUGGGCUACACACGUGCUACAAUGGACAAUACAAAGGGCAGCGAAACCGCGAGGUCAAGCAAAUCCCAUAAAGUUGUUCUCAGUUCGGAUUGUAGUCUGCAACUCGACUACAUGAAGCUGGAAUCGCUAGUAAUCGUAGAUCAGCAUGCUACGGUGAAUACGUUCCCGGGUCU
rnacentral:rRNA from 1 species